rnacentral:ncRNA from 1 species
ACUGUGGACUGCACAACAAAUUGUUAGUAGUAUAUGAAUUUAUUAAUUACAAAAGCAUGCAGGAUGAAGCAGUAA